AUUGAACGCUGGCGGCAUGCUUUACACAUGCAAGCCGAACGGCAGCGCGGGGCAACCCUGGCGGCGAGUGGCGAACGGGUGAGUAAUGCAUCGGAACGUAUCCUGUAAUGGGGGAUAACGUAGCGAAAGUUACGCUAAUACCGCAUACGCUCGAGAGAGGAAAGUGGGGAUCGCAAGACCUCACGUUAUAGGAGCGGCCGAUGUCCGAUUAGCUAGUUGGUGGGUAAAGGCCUACCAAGGUGACGAUCGGUAGCUGGUCUGAGAGGAUGAUCAGCCACACUGGGACUGAGACACGGCCCAGACUCCUACGGGAGGCAGCAGUGGGGAAUUUUGGACAAUGGGCGAAAGCCUGAUCCAGCCAUGCCGCGUGCGGGAAGAAGGCC
rnacentral:rRNA from 1 species